AACAAACGCUGGCGGCAUGCCUAAUACAUGCAAGUCGAACGAGAAAGUCACUUCGGUGGCGAGUACAGUGGCGCACGGGUGAGGAAUAUAUAGCUAACUUGCCCCCUGGCGGGGAACAACCUGUGGAAACGCAGGCUAAUACCGCAUAAGACCACAGGACCUGCGGGUUCAGGGGUUAAAGAUUUAUCACCAGGGGAUAGGGCUAUAUCUGAUUAGCUUGAUGGUGGGGUAAUGGCCUACCAUGGCUUCGAUCAGUAGCUGGUCUGAGAGGAUGAUCAGCCACACUGGAACUGAGACACGGUCCAG
rnacentral:rRNA from 1 species